rnacentral:rRNA from 1 species
GACGAACGCUGGCGGCGUGCUUAACACAUGCAAGUCGAACGGAAACGCCCUGCUUGCAGGGUACUCGAGUGGCGAACGGGUGAGUAACACGUGGGUGAUCUGCCCUGCACUUCGGGAUAAGCCUGGAAAACUGGGUCUAAUACCGGAUAGGAGCCAUUUUUCGUGUGAGGGUUGGAAAGUUUUUUCGGUGUAGGAUGAGCUCGCGGCCUAUCAGCUUGUUGGUGGGGUAAGGGCCUACCAAGGCGGCGACGGGUAGCCGGCCUGGGAGGGUGGACGGCCACAUUGGGCCUGGGAUACGGCCCAGACUCCAACGGGAGGCAACGGUGGGGAAUAUUGCACAAUGGGCGCGAGCCUGAUGCAGCGACGCCGCGUGGGGGAUGACGGCCUUCGGGUUGUAAACUCCUUUCGCUAGGGACGAAGCUUUUGUGACGGUACCUAGAGAAGAAGCACCGGCUAACUACGUG